rnacentral:rRNA from 1 species
UACGGAGGAUGCAAGCGUUAUCCGGAAUGAUUGGGCGUAAAGCGUCCGCAGGUGGCUGUGUAAGUCUGCUGUCAAAGAGCGAAGCUCAACUUCGUAAAGGCAGUGGAAACUACACGGCUAGAGUGCGUUCGGGGCAGAGGGAAUUCCUGGUGUAGCGGUGAAAUGCGUAGAGAUCAGGAAGAACACCGGUGGCGAAGGCGCUCUGCUAGGCCGCAACUGACACUGAGGGACGAAGGCCAGGGGAGCAAACGGG